CGAAAACUUAGCGUGGACAAGUCGUUCAUUUGCAACUAGCCCUCCCCCCCCAAAAAAAGUCGUGCAUUUGCAACUGCUCCUCAUCCUCUCUCCCUCGACGGACCCUCAUCCUCACCGCCAUGGCUCCGCCUCCGCCUCCGGCUACGGACGAACGAACCGUGUCUGCCGGAGACACGCACGAAGCCGGCACAUGUGUGGUGGUGCUCGCCGUCGGUCCGUCUCUUGGUGCGACCAAGUGCUUGCAUGUUUACAUGAGUAGGUAUGAUAUGGAUCGAGCCGAGGAUUCACCACACAACCUUCGGUUUCCCAGUUUCUCUGCUCUGGUUUGCCGAUGGAUGGAGACGAGCUUCUUUCUUCUGGCCGGUAGAUCUGGUUAUGAUCCACAAAUUCGGUUUUUGAUCUGCUACCGUACGUAUAAUAUGUCUUCCCUCCAUCUCGUGCAUGGAAGUAUGUUUGUGUUGGAGACGGCCGGUGAUGGACACGGAUCUCAUCACACGAUUCACAGUCUAGGCUUUCGAGAUGCAAGCAAUUUUUUAUUCGACAAAGGGUUAGGCGAAUACCACGACCCCCUAAGUUUCCGAUCCUUUUCACUCGAAACUCUCUCGCCGGCCGGCAUCAACAGGCGCAAUACAAGGUCGAUCUACCAGUUGGAGCUAAUUAAUGGUGUUGCCCUGCCCCCGCCUGUUACGGGGCAGAGCUUUCGGCCGUCGGCCAAGGUUUCUGUCCAACAGUUGGUGUCCAACACCGGCGGAGAGAAAACGACCUUGGACAAGAACUAAAAAGCUAUCAAGAUCCUAAUGGUGUGGCGACGCGUGACACCCUGCCGGUUAGGGUACAAGAUCUUUCUUCACAUGGCCACCAGCCAACAUAGCAGUUGGUGUCGACCACUAGCGGAGGAAAAAAGCAACUCAAGCCAUCGAUGUUUUCGUGUACGUUGUAUACUUCCUAUUUCCCUCCCUCUCUCUCUCCCUCUCUCUCCCUCUCUCUCCCUCUCCUCCCCCUCUCUCUCUCCCUCUCUCUCGCUCUCGCUCUCGAACAGGCCAGCGACCGCAGCAUCACCAUGCCUCCUCCAACGGACGACCGAGCUGGUGACUAGUAGCUUCACGGUUGCAAAACAUCAGCUUGUCCAUAGUUUGAAACUAUGGAUUUAAUCCAAAAAAUGAAACAGUUUGGAUUGGUUUGGAUGGAAAAUACACCCAGCUUGGUUCGGUUUGGGUUCUAGACCUCAAUAUUUGGUUUGGAUUGGAUUGGUAGCUGGAAAGGAAGUCGUGUGGUCUGGGCUGGAUUUAAUCUGGAUCUGAAACUAUUCCCAGGUUUACCUACACCAAUCCCAUGUCUAAGGACUAAAAUAGCCUAGACGUGAGGGGGAGUGUUGAAAUAUAUUGCCCGCCUCUCUCCACUUGUUCGGACUUUUGGAUGAAUUGGCUCAAGCAUGAAUUCAAUAAUCUACAUUCAUUUUCAUGCAUUUUGGUAUUAUCUACGGUGUGAAUGAAGUUACAUUGUUAGCAUUGUUAGGCAUAGAUGAAAUGUUAUAUAAUCUCUGGGCCAAUCUGUCUCUAUGCAUAGUUAGUUGGUUGAGUGUUUUAAACACUAGCACAACAAACCUUCUCUCCUUUAAUUUUCCUCUCCUUUUCAAUCUUUGUUUUGUCUUUCCAUUAGAUUUUUUCAUGCAACUGUAAGAAGGUUUCUUUGUUAUUUUUAUGUUGUUGGAGAUGCUUGUGCAAAGUGAGAGCUCGCCCACCUACCGAUGUUGAUAUGUAUUUUGACUAAUAUGUUUUCUUUUGCUUUCUUUUGUGGACGCUGAUGCGAGCAUUUUCGCCAUAGAGGGUCCUUUCUAUAUGCUGUGAUGCUAAGCAUCAAAACUGAACCAAGUAUGGCACACUCGGACCGUGUAUGCGGCAUGUAGUUCUAUGCCGUUUUCUUUGCAAUUGCUGCACUACCUGUGUUCCUAUGUUUUUAAGGCGUCCGUAAGGCGACGCCUAGGCGUCGAGGCGCCCCCCCAGCGCUUUGCAAAUAUGCCCGCUUUAGGCGCCUAGGCGUCGAGGCGCCCCCCCAGCGCCUUAAAGCGAAGCAUCGCCUUAAAAACACAGAACACAGUGUGUUCUGCUGGGCGCUUGAUCAUGUUGCCAGAUUCCUAAGGCGUAACUUUGCUUACUCAUCUUUCUAUAGGAUACUUGGAAGAACCUUGUUUUUGGGUGGAGACAAACAAUACCACACUCAGCCUCCUCUAAUCAAAUGCCGAAGUUGCGUGGGGGUUCCUUCUGAUAAUAUCGUUGUUCUCGUUGGCACCGCAACAUCAUUCUGACAUUCAGACAUUAUGGCUUCAUCCCACACGUCAAGCACUUCCUCUGCCAAAGUAACCAUGCGUGCGUCCCUUGCUUCCUGGAGUAUUACUGCUGUCUACGGGCCUCAAUCCGUUGCGGAUAAGUUUGCCUUCAUCCAAGAGAUCAAACAACUAAAGGCCUCCAUGCUACCUUCUUGGCUGUUGCUGGGGCACUUCAAUCUCAUAUGUUAAGCUAAGGACAAAAGCAGUGCUAACAGGAGGCUGCUUAACUCCUUCAGGGCAGUUCUCAACGCAAUUGAGGUCUCUGAACUCUGGCUGCACGGUUGGCGGUUUACUUGGGUCAGCACCUGUCAGUCGCAAACAAGGACGGAGAUUGAUCACGUUUUCUGCACCGCUGACUGGAAUCUUAUGUUCCCAUAAUGUCACCUGAGAGCCAUCUCCUCUGUCUCCGAUCACUGUGCCAUGGUGCUCUCUGGCCAGGUCAGCCAACACCAUUUCAGAGGGUUCCGAUUUGAGGAAUACUGGUUCAAGCUCAGGGGCUUCACUGAGGCUACUCAUGAUCCGCCCCAUCAAAGUGCUUUCAUUCAGUCCCGUUCCAUCAAACUGCUACAUACAAAUAAAGAUGAUGCUCUGAUGCUUAAACUGGACAUUGUCAGUGCCUUUCACUCUGUUUCGUGGGGGUUCUUUAUUGAGCUGAUGCAACGACUGGGAUUCGGCCGCAAAUGGUGUGAUAUGAUCAGCCUGCUGUGGUGUUCAUCCUCUUCAAGGGUCAUGGUUAAUGACGAGCUGGGCGACAGAUUCUUCCAUCAGCGGGGCCUUAGGCAAGGAGAUCUGCUGUCUCUAAUGCUAUUCACGAUUGCAAUCGCGCCGCUACACUGGAUGUUGCUGAAGGCCAGCUCCUCCGGUCCCCUCUCGUGCUCGCGCCUUCCUCCCUCUCAACUGAGAGUGAGUCUUUAUGCAGACCACGCUGCACUGUUCGUAGCCCCAACAGCAAGAGAUAUUGAGGUCACAAGGCAAAUUCCAUGUGCUUUUGGUGAUGCUAGUGGUCUUCGGGCCAACCUGGCCAAGAGUGGAAUAUACCCAAUUGGGUGCUUGAACAUCUCUCGCCCCAUCAUCCUGCAGCAGUUUCCCAUACCUGUGUGCAAUUCCGCUGCAAAUACUUGGGCCUACCUCUGCACUUCAAGAAAAUUACAAUAGCUGACCUGCAACCGAUUUUGGAUAAGAUAGCAUCUAAGCUCCAGGUUUGGCGAGGUAAGCUUAUGUCCAGCGAUGCCAGGCUGCGGUUACUCAACUCAGUCCUGUCAGCCAUACCCACAUACCUCAUCUCGCUCACCAAAGGUCGAUGUCGGGGCUGCACCGCAUCAACACUCUUCCCCAGCUAUGCCAGUUCACCAAGCUAUGGUCCUUGAUUCAAUAAUUCCAGCUGCAGCCCAACUCUUCGGACUUGAUCAGCUGGAAUGACUCCAUUACCGGCUCCUACUCCGUUCGUUCUGCAUAUCUGACUCAGUUUUGUGGAUCCUAGUGCAACAUCAACUUCAGCAGGCUUUGGAAAUCAAAGGUUGAGCCUCAAUGCCGCUCUUCGGCUGGCUCAUGCUUCGGGGCAGGAUCCUAACCAACGACAACCUCUCUCUCAGCAACAUUCAGUACAACGUUGACAUGUGCAGCCUGUGUGACCAGGAGGAGACGCCGCUGCACCUCAUCCUCAAGUGUUCAUAUGCUAAGCAGGUCUGGUUCCUCGUUGCAGAAUGGUGGUGGCCACCUUGAUCUGGUUGCUCAUGCGGAUGCCGCCACCGCUCUUGUCUCAUGGUGGAAUGAUCUUGUUUUCUGCACACCUGGUGCUAAAGAUCGGGCGGACAGUCAACCCGUACAUCCAUCUCUACGUUCCGUUCCUCCAUACACCCAUUGCCACGGUCCGGCGGUGGUGGCUCAGGUUGCGGGACACGGAGGACGAGAUCAGGAUUGGACUUACGAGGUCUGUGGUGCAAAGAAGAAAAACUUAUAUCUACUAUGUAAGCGUGUGCGUUUCACGUCUUUCCCGAUGAUUAUAAACUCUUGCGCUCGAAAGUCAAGUUGAAACAUAGACCUGGUUGUGCGCUUUACUUUCGCCUUCGCCUGAUCAGCUUGAUGACCAUGAGGCGAUUUGUUGACUUUGGUGGUGGAUGUAUCUAGGGGUGCAGAGCGGCGUCCUGCAUAGUCUUGCCAGAGUGUUUAAUUAGCACAAAUUAGACUACACCACCACAGCCUAGCUAGAACAAAGUUUUCCUAAUUAAACACAUUAACGUACGCAUCAUGCGCGACCGCUCGCGUAGUCCACGUCGGAUUUACUGUGCUCGUCGAUUGGGCAAGACGUGCUGUUUCUAUUGGCCAGGAAGUUGGUCCACCUCGUUCCGGUUUGGUCGUCGUGGAUGGAUCGAGAUCCAAUGACAUGCUGUGAGCAUGUCACCAAUGAACAGUAAUGGUAACAUGCGCCCCUCUCUGGACCGCCCGAUCGUGAAUCAACGGAUAGAUGUCAACUAAACAGUGCCGGAUCUACAGUAUUUUGUCUACAGUACCCCUUCUACAGUGUUCUUUGCUACGGUACCAUCCACAGUGUUUCUCCGCUACAGUAUUUAAUCUGGACCGCCCCCCUUGCAUCCAACGGCUGUCGGCCCGCAUGUUACGGCGUGACUGCCUGUGGGCAUGUCACCGGAUCCCUGUCCUGUUGGUCCACCUCGCGUGAUGGGUGGAGCAGAGCACGCAACCUUCUAUCCUCUCCUCUUCCACACGCAACCUCUCUGCCUAUGCCCUCCGCCGCCGCUUUGCCUCAUCUUGGUGGCGAGCAAGAAGAAGCGCAAAGAUGGGGCGGAUCUGGGUGACGGCUCCCGUGCCACCUCCCCGGAACGAGAGAUCUCGCCGUCGUGAUCUCCCCGCACGGUGCGGUGUUGGUGAACGGCGACGGGGCCCUUGACGAGGAUGGCGAGGUCGGUGUUGACAACUGCAGCGGGAGGUCGUCAGAUCCGUCGUCGUCACCAUUCCGCUCGAGCUAGUCGUCGUCCACGUGCUCCUCUUGAAGUUCCUCCUCGCCACCACGGGUGGACGCCGGUGAGGCCAGCCUUCCCUCCACGCGUAGGUAAUCCUGCACUCCCCUCGACGCACUCUCCCUUCUCCCGUAUCGUUGUUCCUCCCUUGUCGAUGUCUUCAAGGGUGGGGAAUGACGGUCUCGAACCAGCGAAUCUGCGAGAAACAUCGGAGACAGGAGGUGGGAGGGAACGUAUCUGCGGCAGGAAGUUCUGGGAGAAGCGGAUUGGCGAUAGUGGGAUCUGCGAGGGCAUGUCGUGGUAGGAGGCAGUGCAGAGCGGAUCAACGGCAGCAGCCGACGAGGAGGCAAGAUUCGUCAGUGGCGGUGCUUUUGGAUGGCGGCGGCGCCACUGCGGACGAUGCCAAUAGCAGGGAUAGCGAGCCGGCGUAGUCCGAAGUGUGGAGUGAAGCCGGAUCCGCAAGUGUCCGAGUGGAUUAAAGCCAUACUACGCAAACUGAUACACUCUGGUUUGAGGCAAUUUCUCUGUUAUAAAUGAACCACCGUCUGAUGUUCAUACUAUAUACUCCUAGAUUUUCUUCUUCUUUGCAGCUCUGUCUUUCUUGUCGCCAUGGAAUUUGUUCUUUGUGUUGUCUACACAGUUCAAUGAAAUUGGAAUCUUUCAUCUUAUUCUUUCUUCAGAAAAGUAUUUAUAGAUUGAGGCCUAAUGCAAAAACAUCUCUCUUUACAAACUAUUUCGUAAUAUCUCCUCGGGUGAAACACUGGUCUGUUCAACCAAACGCCCAAUAAGGCCUUUUGACAGGUUCAUCAAUUAACUAUGAAGAAAACCCAGCAAAUAAACUACAUGGCCGCAGGUUACAUGGCUUGUUAAUUCUGAAUAUCAGAGACAGUAAAGCAAGCAAAAAGAAGGGGGUGGUUUAAGUGACACCCUUAUGCAAAAUGUAUCCACUAUGGGGAUAUUAUAAUUUUUAUGACCACUGACAAGCUCAAUUAAUAACAAGCUACUGCUGCAAUAAGGUGUGAUGAACUGAAGGGGAAACCGGGCAUUCUUCCUAACCUUGUGCUGAAGUAUUAAAAUGCCAUCAUAUGCUAGGCUUGCUAUCCCAGUUAGACAUCACCGAUCCUAUAAGUAUACCUUUCUUUUACGCAUCAGAGUAUACUGACAGAGGGGUAAUCUUAUGUCGUUGUUGAAGUCAAAUACUCCAAAGUGCAUAUGCUGAUCCCAGUGGUUACCAUGUCAAAAAGUUCCAAAGGUUCAGUAAUUAACAAAUCAUAUGAGUUGUCGACAAUUGUAAAUCUCUUGGCAGCAACAUGCAUUUUUUUCAUAUCCUAUGUUUGUUGAGUUCUAGAAAUUUUCAACACAGAGAAAUGGACGUGUAUGGUAAAUAUCAUGCCCACUUCAACACUGAAAUGGACUUGUAUAUAUAUGAACUGAGUACUUGAAAUUUUCAACGACAUGGUUCUGCCGCUUCUAAUAUCAACGAGUGUAGUUUUCAAGAAUCAGAAACAGGUUCAUAGCUGCAUAUAAAUUUCGACAUGAUAUACUACCAUGUUUUAGAUUUCUUUUGGACGAUAACCGAGGUGUUUGCUGCAUGGUUGAGUGGGUGUUUCGUGUUUCCGCUCCUAAUUGGACAAGUACUACUCCAUGCAAUGGGUUUCUGACUAAUUAAUCGAGUGAUCAAGUCGGCCUAGAGCUUGCACUACUUCAGUGGCUGACACACGCUAUGGAUUUGUUGAUCUUUUGAUUGCCUUUUUCCUGCAGCAACUGAAAGGAACAAGGCGACUGGGAAAUCCUGGGCUACAUAUCCUUCCUUUCCUUGAUUUUCCUUCCAAAAGCUGAGGAAGAUUCCCUGGUUCUCGUCAAAUGCAAGCUGCACUACUGUCAAAAAGUGUACUCUAUUUUGCAGUGCCAUAACUUGGUAAUCCACCAGAGGGAUAGGUAGAUGGGAGCCGGGGGCGGAGGUGACGCGAUCUACUCGGGAAUAAGAGAAUGCUAUAAUUAUGAUGUCAAAUUGGUCGGCAAAUACUGCUGCUUCUGGAAUCUGAAUGUACACCGCUAUGCAUGUUGCAAGCAAUGAACUCUUCUACAAGAGAAAAUAUCAGGAAGUAACAGCUCACUAUAUUGGAGCUAUUUAAAAGAAUCCAAAUGAGCCCGUGGUCUCUGCUAGAGGAAUGUAUUGUCUUGCAAACUGAAUUGGUUUUCUGGUUCAUGUCUUUGCAUUUUAGUUGCUGGAGAGAUUGUUGGAUAUACUUUGUUGCUUCCAGCCCAUAGAUAAGAAUAUUUCAGUCGCUGGAGAGAUUGUUGAACAUAUGACAUUGAUGCAAAUCUCUGGCCACCUACAAGUGAAACUGCUUGAAGACCAAGUUCGAAUAUGUAUGAGGGUAGUGAAGUUGGGCAUGCGAGUCUACUUGCAGUAUCGCAUCCUGAUGUUAUCAGUCCAGUAGUGAGGGGAAGGUGCCGCCGACGAGGAUGUGGAGGAGGACGAGGUCGAGCCGGGUCGAUGAAGGGUGUUGUGGUUGGCUUGCUGGCCAAGCAGCCACCUCUCUCCUCCUCGUCUUCGACAUCGUGAAGAACGAUGAUGAAAUGGACGCAUGCUGCAGGAGCAGCAGAGACGUUGUGUGAGCCUUGGGUUCUUCAUCGAUUCGUUCGUGCAUGCCCUUGGUCACAUGAACACCUCAGGUACAACUUGCCUCUCGUCUCUCCUCCCUGUUAUGGAUCCGACAUGAGGAUAAAUUGUUGGGACAGUAGGUAAUAUCAGGAUUUUUAUUGUUGUUGCUUCUAUUUACCUUGAUGUUCAUGGUUUUGGUGUAUGGCGUUCACCUUUUACCUGGAUGCCAGACCAAAUAAGAUCUCAACUCAGUUUCUUUAUUUGCAUGUUCAUCUCGUGUAUCAUGAAGAAACUUCAACACUAAACAGAGCAAAGCUAUUAUCUCGUCAAUAGAAGCUAGAGAAAUUAAUCCAUUAUAAUUUUCAUGCAUAUAAUUUAAUCUAAUUUUUAGUUGUGCUAAUUUAAUAACAGUACCAUCUAUACUACUGAUUUGGAGAUAUGUGCAAUACAUCUUUCAGUAAUCAAUAGUACACCUACCUAUGUAUAGUAUGCAUUAACUAGAUUAAUUAACGACAAAUGAAGGAUAUAUUCAAGUCAAGUUACUAAAUAUUCAUGAUGGUAUUUUUUUCCCUGAACUUCUUAUCCAGGAUCAACUGGGAAUUGGAUACUGAAGUGGUUUAGUAAAGCUUCAAAUGCAAUAGUGGCAAACAUCUCCAUUGAUGCUACAAAACGUCUUGAUGAUUUUGAAGCAAGACUCCAUGUUAAUUACAUUACUUUUUUUAUCAUGCCCUAUUGAUUGAAAAGUUACUUAGCCCUAAUCAUCCAUGCUUAAUAAUGAGGAUGGAUUUGGGACUUUGUUUAGCUUUCCAACAUAUGUCUAAAGAAUUAAACUUUUAUAGUUUAUUAGUACAGAGCUAGAUCUCUCACUGUGCUCAUCACAUGUAAUGAAGUCAUAUCACUUGGUUUUCUAGCAAUGGGUCAGCAAGUGGGUCAUGAUGAACCAAUUUAUGUUCUCUCUCUUGCAUUUGCACGAUCAUACUGAGCUGAUCUCUAUUGUAGGUUCCACAGAAGCACUGAAACUUGCUGAUUUUGUAGCCUCCUCGUAGCAGGGCCAGGAGAGCAGCGUCAGUUGGAUCCAGGAGGAGCACCAUUGUGGGAUCCGCUGCGGCCAAGUAUGUCUCUCUUCCUCCCCGUCCUCUUGAUCCACUGCCUCUCUUUGUUUCUGAAUUUCACACUGAAAUUGUAAAGUGAGGCUCAAAAAGAUACAGUGGUUACCAACGGUGACGACGACGACGAAGACUGGCCCAGCAUCUGGGACAGUGGAUGCGUUGAGCUUGAGAUGAAGAUCGGCCACUCCAUCCACGAUCACUGUUCUCCCCUUCUUUUUGUGGAGACGAUUUCAGUAUUCUUUAUCAAUGAUCUUUAGAACCAAGAUGCAUGUAUCACUCGUUCAAUCAAGUGUGUAAUGAUCUUUUAAUUUUGUUCCUGAUGAUUUGAAAUUCCUGGUUUA